AUUGAACGCUGGCGGCAGGCCUAACACAUGCAAGUCGAGCGAGCGGCGGACGGGUGAGUAAUGUAUGGGGACUGCCCGAUAGAGUGGGAUAACUACUGGAAACGGUAGCUAAUACCGCAUACUAUCGGGUGACCCAUAUGGGAUUGGCUAGUAGGUGUGGUAAUGGCUCACCUAGGCAACGAUCCCUAGCUGGGCUGAGAGGAUGAUCAGCCACACUGGGACUGGGACACGGCCCAGACUCCUAGGGAGGCAGGGAUGGGGAAUAUUGCAAAAUGGGCGCAAGCCUGAUGCAGCCAUGCCGCGAGUAUGAAGAGGGCCUUAGGGUUGUAAAGUACUUUCAGUCGUGAGGCGUUACCGACAGAAGAAGCACCGGCUAACUCCGUGCCAGCAGCCGCGGUAAUAC
rnacentral:rRNA from 1 species